CCUACGGGGGACAGCAGUGGGGAAUAUUGGGCAAUGGGCGCAAGCCUGACGCAGCAACGCCGCGUGAAGGAAGACGGCUUUCGGAUUGUAAACUUCUAUUGACAGGGAAGAGCAGAAGACGGUACCUGUCGAAUAAGCCACGGCCAACUACGUGCCAGCCACCGCGGUAAUACGUAGGUGGCAAGCGUUGUUCGGAUUUACUGGGUGUAAAGGGCGUGUAGUCGGGCUGACAAGUCAGAUGUGAAAUCCGUGGGCUCAACCUCCGAACUGCAUUUGAAACUGUUGGUCUUGAGUAUCGGAGAGGAAAGCGGAAUUCCUAGUGUAGCGGUGAAAUGCGUAGAUAUUAGGAGGAACACCAGUGGCGAAGGCGGCCUGCUGGACGACAACUGACGGUGAGGCGCGAAAGCGUGGGGAGCAAACAGGAUUAGAUACCCGUGUAGUC
rnacentral:rRNA from 1 species